UCAGGGUGAUUGAACAGGCCCUCUCUCUAGAUGUGCUCAGGCAAAUUGUAUUGCCGGUGUGCUUUCGUGGAUGCUGUCAGGACCAAUGGAGAAACCAACAUAACAGAAGUCUGGAAAACUUUACCCUGUCAGAUACAUCACACCGGGCUUCCAACCAUGAAAGGCUUCCCCUGGGAACAGAGAAAGGAAUGGACAUAUUAAAGGAAUCAGACAGCUAUAUAGGUAAUUUUUUUUCUUCUACAUAUUUCUGAACCUCAAUUUAAAGUCUAUGGACCAGUGUAUUAUGCUGCCAAAUUCACCAGGAGAUAUCAAAUACUCAGCAUGAAAUGAACCACACUUACAGGGACUUAAGGAAAGAAGGAAGGACUGACUUGGUCCUGGAAGAGAAUGUAGCAGCAGAAAAUUGCCCUGCCCACAGAUUGGCCUCGGUUGUCCAGGGGAGGCUGGAGGAAUGGCAGUUGCAGGAGGAGAACUGUACAAGGCCUAGAGACCACGUCCAUGUUGACUUCUUGGAGGGGCCUUGAAGACCAGUCUUGUCUGCUGUGCGAUGGGGAGUCUGCAGGCAUGUAACAUGGCAGAAGCGCUCCAUCAGGUGAGCCAGCAGCCUCAACACCACCCAUAGCCCAUCGUUUGCUGAGCUUAUAUCACCUUCUGGAAAAUCUUUCAGAGCAAUAAAGACUAUGAG